rnacentral:rRNA from 1 species
UACGUAGGCAGCAAGCGUUGUUCGGAGUUACUGGGCGUAAAGGGUGUGUAGGCGGCUUUUUAAGUUUGGUGUGAAAUCUCCCGGCUCAACUGGGAGGGUGCGCCGAAUACUGAGAGGCUAGAGUGUGGGAGAGGAAAGUGGAAUUCCUGGUGUAGCGGUGAAAUGCGUAGAUAUCAGGAGGAACACCGGUGGUGUAAACGGCUUUCUGGACCAUAACUGACGCUGAGACACGAAAGCGUGGGUAGCAAACAGG